rnacentral:rRNA from 1 species
AUUGAACGCUGGCGGCAUGCCUUACACAUGCAAGUCGAACGGCAGCGGGGGAGAAGCUUGCUUUUCCUGCCGGCGAGUGGCGAACGGGUGAGUAAUACAUCGGAACGUGCCCUGUAGUGGGGGAUAACUAGUCGAAAGAUUAGCUAAUACCGCAUACGACCUGAGGGUGAAAGUGGGGGACCGCAAGGCCUCAUGCUAUAGGAGCGGCCGAUGUCUGAUUAGCUAGUUGGUGGGGUAAAGGCCUACCAAGGCGACGAUCAGUAGCUGGUCUGAGAGGACGAUCAGCCACACUGGGACGGAGACACGGCACAGACUCCUACGGGAGGCAGCAGUGGGGAAUUUUGGACAAUGGGCGAAAGCCUGAUCCAGCAAUGCCGCGUGUGUGAAGAAGGCCUUCGGGUUGUAAAGCACUUUUGUCCGGAAAGAAAUGGCUCUGGUUAAUACCUGGGGUCGAUGACGGUACCGGAAGAAUAAGGACCGGCUAACUACGUGCCAGCCGCCGCGGUAACAC